rnacentral:misc_RNA from 1 species
GAUGAAGAACGUAGCGAAAUGCGAUAAGUAAUGUGAAUUGCAGAAUUCAGUGAAUCAUCGAAUCUUUGAACGCACAUUGCGCCCGCCAGUAUUCUGGCGGGCAUGCCUGUCUGAGCGUCAUUUCAACCCUCAUGCCCCUAGGGCGUGGUGUUGGGGAUCGGCCAAAGCCCGCGAGGGACGGCCGGCCCCUAAAUCUAGUGGCGGACCCGUCGUGGCCUCCUCUGCGAAGUAGUGAUAUUCCGCAUCGGAGAGCGAUGAGCCCCUGCCGUUAAACCCCCAACUUUCCAAGGUUGACCUCAGAUCAGGUAGGAAUACCCGCUGAACUUGAGCAUAUCAAUAAGCGGAGGA